UGACAUUUAGUUGUGUUUACAAUAAUCAGUACGUGUCUCUAGUCACGUACACAAACUCCAUAUUCAUUCCGCAUAAGAUUUACCUUUCCCAGGCAGGAGAAUGUUGGGCCCCGCAAGCGUUCACCGGUUGACCAAAAAAGCUGCUGCAAGGUCUUUAUGUACUCAACAAUCAGCCCGAUGUUUUCGUGUUAGCGCGGCAGCUGUCGAUCCGAAUGCGCAAGCGUCGGCAUUGCGACAGGAGGACUCUCCCAGCCCAAGGGAAGCCCGUCAUGUGGCGGCCUGCAUUUCUGCGAUUGCAGCUCAAUUAAUUACUGCAAAUGUGGCAUGGUCGGAUGUUCCUCAGGAUGAGCUCUUCUCACUGCAGGUUCG
rnacentral:lncRNA from 1 species